rnacentral:rRNA from 1 species
GACGAACGCUGGCGGCGUGCUUAACACAUGCAAGUCGAACGGUAAGGCCCUUCGGGGUACACGAGUGGCGAACGGGUGAGUAACACGUGGGUAAUCUGCCCUGCACUUCGGGAUAAGCCUGGGAAACUGGGUCUAAUACCGGAUAUUCAGCUUUCACCGCAUGGUGGUGGUUGGAAAGUUUUUCGGUGCAGGAUGAGCCCGCGGCCUAUCAGCUUGUUGGUGAGGUAAUGGCUCACCAAGGCGACGACGGGUAGCCGGCCUGAGAGGGUGACCGGCCACACUGGGACUGAGACACGGCCCAGACUCCUACGGGAGGCAGCAGUGGGGAAUAUUGCACAAUGGGCGAAAGCCUGAUGCAGCGACGCCGCGUGAGGGAUGACGGCCUUCGGGUUGUAAACCUCUUUCAGUAGGGAAGAAGCGAAAGUGACGGUACCUGCAGAAGAAGCGCCGGCUAACUACGUGCCAGCAGCCGCGGUAAUACGUAGGGCGCAAGCGUUAUCCGGAUUUAUUGGGCGUAAAGAGCUCGUAGGCGGUUUGUCGCGUCUGCCGUGAAAGUCCGAGGCUCAACCUCGGAUCUGCGGUGGGUACGGGCAGACUAGAGUGAUGUAGGGGAGACUGGAAUUCCUGGUGUAGCGGUGAAAUGCGCAGAUAUCAGGAGGAACACCGAUGGCGAAGGCAGGUCUCUGGGCAUUUACUGACGCUGAGGAGCGAAAGCAUGGGGAGCGAACAGGAUUAGAUACCCUGGUAGUCCAUGCCGUAAACGUUGGGCACUAGGUGUGGGGGACAUUCCACGUUUUCCGCGCCGUAGCUAACGCAUUAAGUGCCCCGCCUGGGGAGUACGGCCGCAAGGCUAAAACUCAAAGGAAUUGACGGGGGCCCGCACAAGCGGCGGAGCAUGCGGAUUAAUUCGAUGCAACGCGAAGAACCUUACCAAGGCUUGACAUGUGCCAGACCGCCUCAGAGAUGGGGUUUCCCUUCGGGGCUGGUUCACAGGUGGUGCAUGGUUGUCGUCNGCUCGUGUCGUGAGAUGUUGGGUUAAGUCCCGCAACNAGCGCAACCCUCGUUCCAUGUUGCCAGCACGUANNGGUGGGGACUCAUGGGAGACUGCCGGGGUCAACUCGGAGGAAGGUGGGGAUGACGUCAAAUCAUCAUGCCCCUUAUGUCUUGGGCUUCACGCAUGCUACAAUGGCCGGUACAAUGGGUUGCGAUACUGUGAGGUGGAGCUAAUCCCUAAAAGCCGGUCUCAGUUCGGAUUGGGGUCUGCAACUCGACCCCAUGAAGUCGGAGUCGCUAGUAAUCGCAGAUCAGCAACGCUGCGGUGAAUACGUUCCCGGGCCUUGUACACACCGCCCGUCAAGUCACGAAAGUUGGUAACACCCGAAGCCGAUGGCCUAACCACCUUGUGUGGGGGGAGUCGUCGAAGGUGGGACUGGCGAUUGGGACUAAGUCGUAACAAGGUAGCCGUACCGGAAGG